GACGUAGGAGGCGAGCGUUGUCCGGAUUCAUUGGGCGUAAAGAGCGCGCAGGCGGCUUGGUAAGUCGGAUGUGAAAUCCCGAGGCUCAACCUCGGGUCUGCAUCCGAUACUGCCCGGCUAGAGGUAGGUAGGGGAGAUCGGAAUUCCUGGUGUAGCGGUGAAAUGCGCAGAUAUCAGGAGGAACACCGGUGGCGAAGGGCGGAUCUCUGGGCCUUACCUGACGCUCAGGCGCGAAAGCCAGGGGAGCAAACGGG
rnacentral:rRNA from 1 species